CAUUCUGGGAAGAGUUAUGAAAGGCUGAGAUCCGCUGACUGUUACCGGGGCAACCGGAGUCUCUUGGCGGUUAUCUGCGGUUUUGAGCAGUUAGCAGGCGAGGCUGAGAUGCUCAGAGGUCAUUUGGGAUGAGCGAAAGGGGCCUGUGGGUGCUUUUAAGGGAAGAUUGUCUUAUCAGGAGGUUAUCCAGGUGUGUCCUGCGGGAGCGCCUGCCCUGGGGAUCGAGGUCAAGCCCUCUUGUUGUCCUUUGAGCCUUGCGGAGAAAUGAAGUGUGACCAAGUAGCUCCUUUCCGUCACUUCUCUAGUUUUCUGCCUCCUUUUAGAAAAUAAAAAAGAAAACUCACCAGUCAUUUAUCCAGAACAACAAAGAAAGCAUCGAAGAUCUUAAUGUAAAUGUGUUCGUAGUGAGUUGAAGAGAUAAAAAUGAAGUCGACGCAGCAUGUGAAGACAAUUCUUUCAAGAAGUUUGGCUGUAAAGGAAAAGAGAAAGGGACGUAUUUGAUUCCACACUGUAAGAUAGUGAAUACAGAAACAGUUUGAAGCCAGAACCUUGAGAAUCACCCACAUGUAAAGAAGGUGCUAAAGACUAUUUAAGCAUGGAGCAGACAGGCCACCUUUGCUAUCACUUGUCUAAAAUUGAAGCUAAAAAAGCCAACCUGGAAGAUGGAAACCAAAUCUUGAUAUUAUUUGAGUCCAGGGAUCCAGACAUGCUUAAAGACUAACUUUACCACUGAACUUUUCAGUUAAAUGAGCCAAUAAAGUCUUUUAUGCUUAAACUUGUUUUUUCUAGAUUUUUGUCAUAUACUACUCAAAAAAUUCUAAUACAGGUAUACCUCAUUAAAUCAACAUUA